rnacentral:lncRNA from 1 species
AUGCCAGAGGACAGUAUCAUCAGCAGUGUCCAGGAGCAACUGUCAAAAUCUGACCAAAUGGUGGCUGCAGGACAGCUUUCACAAAUAGAUAAAGUGGUUGGAACUAUGCUGGAGAACAUUGAGAAGAUAAGCAGCGAAUUUGGCGAGGAAUUGGUCUAUCAAGAGUCACUGCGGUCUUCUUCCUCGUUGUCAUUCUCAACUGCCAAAUCACAGAAGACAGAGUGGGAAUUUGCACUCCCUGGCACUCCCAUUCCUUCUGAGUUACCCGAGAGUACUGCUCAGCCCAUUGUAAGAUGCUCAGUCAUUGACAUGAGCGAAUCUAGUAAGCCAAAAACAAUGGUGUGUGAUGCCAGAACAAGCAUGUUUGCCAUAGCCGAUACCAUCAUGAAGAAAGUAUAUCCAGAGGCAGAAGGGCAGGUUACAUCUCACCCUGAUCUAACAGAUGCAAUAGCUAGACUGGAGGAGCUCAUAUCUCAGGGUAAGAUUGGUGCUCUCUCCCGUGAUCUCAGUCACCAAGUCAACCGCAUAAUUUCUGAUAGCAACUUGACCCCUCUGGGACUGACAGUGGCGGCUGGAAAGAGUGCAUCUGAUACCAUCGUUUCGAAGCUGAAGAGGAAUGACAAGGUGGGGAAGCCCACAACUUACGAGCUGGUUCAGCUGUUUGUAGAGGAGUCUGUUAAGUGCCUCCUGCUUCCUAGUUUUGUGCCCUAUUCAACUUCAAUGAGUUUGGCUCAGGGGGCCAAGGUUUUGGCUAGAGUGUCUGAAGAUAGAAUUUCAUGCUCUUCUUCCUCAUCAGUAUUUAGUGACACAGUCAGUCUCUUUACCAAAGUUAUGGUAAGCCAGGUCAUGUACUCUGUGGAUUCUGAUGCAGAAAGUAUAGGAUCCUCUCCAACUGAAUCUCUCCAAACAUCUGAAACCACUAUAUCUGAUGUAGGCAAUCUAUUGAGUGACAAGUCCUCCCCUCGGCUGUCUCCUUCUGGCACCAUUAUGGCAACAAGCGAGACCUCCAAUGCGGCACAAAUCUUGAAGGCCAACAUUGAUGGAGAGGAAGUGGAUACCACCAGUCAUUCUGGUGUAGCUCAAAACAUUGUCAGGGACGAUAUGUCAACCAGCCCAGACAUGGUCAAAGAUGUCACACUUCCAACCCCAUCCUCUGAUAACUUGGGCAGUGAUGAUGACGUCACCGACCUCAUCAGCAUGUUAGUAAUGAGAAUUCUAACAGAAAUCCAAACCCCAGCAGAAGAUUACCCAGUUGACGUCACACGCAAGUCACAAGACCUGAUCCCCAAAGUUAUGGAGGUCUUCUGUGCAUGGUCAGGCUGCUCUGAGACACAAGCCUAUCCAGAGAACUUGAGGAUUCAUAAAGUCUACAGAGUCGUCUAUAAAAAUCUGUUGGAGGAGUUUGGCUCGGAGAAAAUCCUCCAACAGGCCGUGUCGACUCAGGACUCUUCAUUUGAUAGGAUUCUUGUCAAGUCUUUGAGUGAAGCGCUUCUCCACAGAUGUAAUGAGGCAUUGAGGGCAGCCUCAAGAACAUCAGUCAAAACCACCGGGCCUAAGGCUCUUCCACUGGCUGAGGAUGUGAGGGCUAGCAGCGGGAAACUAUCUUUUCUACAAAGGCUGGUCAGGCUGACAAGCAACUUAAAGCUAUUCAAGAAGGGGAACAAGAAGGAUUCCCACCGCUCUGAAUCAGAACAAGUACAGACCACUGCUGAAGAUGGCAUGCUGCCCAGCAUAGUGCCACAUGCUGCCAUGUCUGCACUGCCAAAGGAUCUCCCCGCCAGCUCCCAACAGGAGACGCCUCACAAAUGUCCACUUCUCGUCAGGAUGUUUUCUGUCAUCUCCAAAGGCCUGUUCAAGCCCUUCAAACAGUCCUUAAAGACCAAGUAA